CCAGCAACCAGAUGGUGACCUGCUAUGGACAUCUUGGAAUGCUCUCUGGAGGAAGCCUCAGAGGGAUACCAGAUAGCCGUGACCCUGAAUCCAGUCUCAGCUCACACCCGAAUCCUGGUGUCAGUGGAUGGCUGGACUGCAGGCCACUGGGAAUCACCCCCAGCUCCUCCACCCUCAGGAAUGGAGUGUUUUGAGUGUCUCUGCUGUGUUUUGGGUCA